rnacentral:lncRNA from 1 species
UUAGACUAUUAUUGUUUCAAUUACAUCAGCUUAUCACCAUCAGAGAACCACCAACAGAAUAAUACACACGCACACAUUUUACUAUAUUUCUAUCUAUUACAAGUACAGAUCAGUUUUUGUAAAUAGAAAUGAAUGAAAAUGAACAGAAUUGAAACCCUAAGUGCUCUAUGUGUGUUUUGUGCGUGUGACUGGAAUUUGGGGGGGUGAGAGCAGCCGGCGGCUGCUCGCGGCCGGAGGCGGCGCGGCGGCAGUCGCCGCCUUUUUCCUUUGUCUGUCUGAAACGAGAGAAAGAUGGUUAGGGCUGCUGUAAAAAAAAAAAAAAGAGAGAGAAGAGAAGGUAGAACAGGGGAGGGAGAGAGAGAGAUAGGAGGGAGGACUUAUCUUCUCCGGUGACGACGACGCGGCGGCAUCGGCAGCGGCGACGCGGCGGCGGAAGCACCGAGCUGUUCCUGGUCGGCCGGAAAAGAGGAAAAGAGGGGGAGCUCAGAUCUGGAGCCUACCUUCCCGGCGAUGCAAGGCUCGGCCUCCACCGCGAUUCCAGCCAGACGAACGACGGAGGAGGCGACGGACGGCGGCCGAGCUCCUUCACG